AUGGAUAUUUACCUGAUGGGUAGGGAUUAUUGUACCCGCACCAUACCCUGCCCAUUGCCAUCCUUCAUAGAUUCUAUACCAACAGUUGAUAAAGCAAGGGUGUGGCCGUGUGGGAGAAGACUCUCCGGAGGUCGUCAUUGUAGGAUCCUUCAAAUUUCGGCCCGCGUCAAACAUAUCUAUGCCCCCUUCUUUUUGCUGGUUCCUCUAUCCCACCUGCUCCUUAGCGCGAAGGAAACUUUCGACCCUUCCGUUCCUGCUUCCACUCGUCGCUGUCGCCGAUCUCGCCGGCCCCUCGUCUUCUCGCCUCGCCAUGCUGCCAAUCACCGCUAUGGAGUACCUGGAGCCACCAGGCGGUGCAUGCGCCGCUGCCCCCGACGGUGCUGCUCUGGCCUUCUGCGCCUCCCGCAACCAUGCACAAUGCCGACGCGCCAACACCUUCCACCCCCGACAUCAAGCGAAAGUGACAGUGGAAUCACCUCAUGCAAGGAAGUGUGGUUGCCACCGGGUCGCCUUCUUCUAAUGCCGUUGUGCUCCCUCCCAUGUUGGUCGCCGGCUCGAGGAAGAACGCCUCCUCCGGCCCCUCCGUGGCACUGGCGAAGUCACAAUCAAAAGGACCAAGGAAGAAUGUGGCUGCGGCUCAAGGUCGGGCUCCUUAUCCACCCCCUCCUGCCGGCCAUGUCCUCCCCGAUACCGCCCACUCGACCGGCCAUGCCUAGAACGUAUUUGAUGAAACGUCCGAGAGAGGAGAAUGCGGUGGAAUUGAGUGCUCCACCUGAUGAGUUUGAUGCGACAAGUCAAGAGAACGUCGAAGCCAAGGUGGAACAAGGGAAUGCUGAUGGUGAUGAAGUAAAGGAGCUUGAGGAGGCCGAGUUCGAUGCUAGCCAAGACAAAAUAGGGAAAAGGACUGGCAACUACAUGGAGACAAGGAUUGGGUGCUUGGAGCAAGUGCGGAAUGCACCUCCAAGUGGUGUCACGAUUGACGAGUGUGAUCGCAUUGCAAAUGAAUAUUUCAAGCAAACAACGGGUUUCAACGGCCGGUCGUUCACUCUUCACGAUUGUUGGCGCUUGAUCAAGGAUAGCGAGAAGUGGAGGGUGAGGGGCAAACUCCACCAAAGAAAGAUUCUCUUGUCAAUUUGGAAGACGAUGAUGAUAGUGAUGAUGCACCAAGGGGAGGAAGAAACAAGGGCAAAACCGGAUGGAAACAAGCGAGGUGGCCAUAGCUGGGAGGAAAGAAAAACACAAGGAGGCAAAGUGGGAGAGAAGGUGUGCCUUCAAGGAACGCAAGAUCUCCGGUUCAUGAUGAUGAAUCUGGAGGGCAUGGAUGCAACGACAAGAGAAUUUUGGGAGAUGAGAAGAAUGGCGAUCAUGUGUCAGGGGAAGAUGGACCUUCAAAAUCUUAUGGCUGGUGGUGGUGGUUUCAACAAUGGUGGUGGCAUAGGUUUCAAAACUGGUGGUGGGGGUUUUGAGGUGGUGUUGGUUUCGGUAAUGUUGGUGGUGGUGGGUUUAGAGGUGGUGUUGUCUUUGGCUAUGGUGGUGGUGGGUUUGGAGUUGGUGUUGGCUUCGGCACUGGUGGUGGUGGUGGUGGUGGUGGUGGUGGUGUUCCCGGUGGAGGUGGUGAAGCUUUCGGUAAUUGAGGUGGAGGUGAAGGUGGUGAAGCUUUUGGCAAUGGUGGUGAUGGUGCUUCGGCGAACGAAGUUCAUGUUCAUGCUUCGCCCAAUGAAGAUGGUGGUGCUCAUUCUUCGGUCUAUGUGGAUAAAAAUGGUAAUUGAGGUGCUAUGGCCGAUGGUGGUGGCAACGAUCUUCGCGACAAUGAUGAUGUUGCUUGAUUUGUUUUAUGGCAGGGGGUGUACUGAAGCACACUCAUGUGCAGGACAGCUGAGGAGAAUGGUGUCCCGGAGUCGAGACGGUCAUUUGCAGACCAAGUCUAUGUUGGUUGCACUUGUAAUGGCAUGA
rnacentral:rRNA from 1 species